UUAAUUUGGUUUUACAUCUAAGGGAGAUUUGUAGGCCGAAAUACAGACAUAGCUGCAAAAUUGGUUCUAAACUUCUAAAGGAUUUAUGCAUGAUAAUACAAUGUUUAAAAAGGAUUUUAUAUAGUUUCAUUCGAUCUUAAUGGUCUUAACUUUGUUUAGUUCAUAAGUUUAUCUCUGAAUAGAAUUUUAAAAGAUGUCUUGAAUGAAAAUAGAGAUGACAUUAUUAAAAUAUAACAUUAAGUUUUGCUC
rnacentral:lncRNA from 1 species